AUGGCGCCCUCCUCCACCACGGCGUCGGCGGCGGCGGACGAGAGGGACCGCAAGCGCAAGCGCGGGGCCGGCGGCGAGGCGGGGACGGAGGCCGACGCGGAGAGGGCGCCCAAGUGGCGGACGCGGCGGGAGCACGAGAUCUACUCCACCAGGCUGCUCGACGCGCUGCGCCUCGUGCGCGCCGGGGCUGGCGUCGCCCCGUCCCCGUCCCCGGCGCGCCAGGUGCGCGAGGCGGCCGACCGCGCGCUCGCCGUCGCCGCCCGCGGCCGCUCCCGCUGGAGCCGCGCCAUCCUCGCCUCUCGCCGCGCUCACCGCGUGCACCGAGUGCGCCUCCACGCUCCGGCCCCUGCGCCGGCGCCUGCUCUAACACGGCCCGCUUCACCCGGCGCGUCCUCCUCCGGCUCGACCUCGGCACAGGCACAGACGCUGGCGAGGAAGGCGAAGACGCUGGGGCGGCUGGUGCCGGGGUGCAGGAAGCUGCCGUUCCCGGCGCUGCUGUCCGAGGCGUCCGACUACAUCGCCGCGCUGGAGAUGCAGGUGCGCGCCAUGGCCGCGCUCGCGCAGGCGCUCUCCGCCGUCGCCCCGCCGCCGUGA
rnacentral:rRNA from 1 species